GCGGCCGCUACCAUACGACUUUGUCUUGCGGAUCAGGUCAUGUAUCAUGUCAUGGACGAAGAUACUCCUAAGGGAAUUUGGGAUAAGUUGGCAAAUCGUUAUAUGUCCAAGUCAGCGACCAAUAAGCUGUAUUUGAAGCAAAAGUUCUAUGGGCUGAAGAUGCAGGAGGGGUCGGAUCUUGUGGAGCAUGUGAAUGCCUUUAAUCAGUUGGUCAUGGAUCUAGCGCGUCUGGAUGUGAAGAUCGAUGAUGAGGAUAAGGCGCUACUUCUUCUUGUUUUGUUGCCACCGUCCUAUGAGCAUUUGGUCAUUACAUUGACACAUGGAAAGACAACCAUCAAUAAUGAGGAAGUCACUUAA
rnacentral:rRNA from 1 species